rnacentral:lncRNA from 1 species
ACCCCUGCCAGCACACCCCCAAGCCGAGGCCAGUCUGCACCCCAGGGUGCCGAACUGACCCCUCAAGGCCCGGCCCCGCCCCUUCCGGCCCCACCCACUUCCGGCUGCCCGCUGGGCCGGGCACGCUGACUCCGCCCCUUCCGGCCGCCGGCCCCGCCCCCUCCCCGCUACGGGGGCGACUGGGGAAGCUUCAGCACCGACUCGGUGUCGUUAAAAAGCAGGCCCGGCGGCCAGGUUGGUACAGUGCGACCUGGUAAAAUGCGCGGGAACUUAAGGCCGGACCGUGCUUCUGAAACACGUUUUGCGUUUCUCGCGCAAUGAAGUCCUGCUGAGGGGCCCACACGGAGCUGCCGACCUAGCGUCCGAGCCGCCCUGCCCGGUCCCACCCCCCGGGUCCCACCUCCCCGGUCCCACCUGCGCCGCCCCGCUGUGCUGUGCCUGGGGAGGGCAAGCGCUCGCCCGAAGGCCCACGGCGCCCCCGCUCUGGCCGCUGAAUGGCGUCACCUCCCAGGGCCCGGUGCCCUCCCACCCUCCCGCAGGGGUGCUGGAGAGCAAGGGGAGCAUGAAGCAUCCCGGGGGGGGGGGGGGGGGGGGGGGCGGCACCCGGUAUGCGCAACAGCUGAGAUGACUGCACCGGACAGGAAGCCCAGGCCAACGCGGGCCCUGCCCCAUCCACCACCCCCUGCUCCUUCUUCCCAGAGACCCUCCCUCGACCCAAAAGCAGCAGCCAAACCAAGAGCUGCCAUUUCUAAGAGCCUACUCUGUGCCAGGCAAUGUGCGGGGCAUACCCAUCUCCACCCAUCCCCAAAACCUCUAAAACACAGAGCAGUGUCUUUCCCACUUGACACCUUUGAAAGAGCUGAAGUCACUCGCCCGAUGUCCACAGCUUGUAAGCGGCAGAGUCAGGACUCGAACGCAGGUCUGUCUGGCUCUAAGGCCACUUCCCAGCUUGCCCAAGGAACUGGGCAAACAAGCAAACAGGAGCACUUCAAUUAUUUGUCCAACAGCCAUGGAACACCAUCUAAAGAAAUAUCUACUACCAGUUUACUGGGCUAG